GUGAGGAAUAUUGCGCAAUGGGCGAAAGCCUGACGCAGCGACGCCGCGUGGAGGAUGAAGGUCUUCGGAUUGUAAACUUCUGUUAAGUGAGAAGAAAGGGCUGCUUUUAAUAGAAGCAGUUAAUGACGGUACCAUUAAAGAAAGCACCGGCUAAACUCGUGCCAGCAGCCGCGGUAAUACGAGUGGUGCAAGCGUUAUUCGGAAUAAUUGGGCGUACAGGGUGUGUAGGCGGUAUGUUAAGUCUGUUGUUAAAGACUCCGGCCUAACCGGAGACAGGCAGCGGAAACUGGCGUACUAGAGGGUGGAAGAGAGAAGUGGAAUUCUCGGUGUAGCGGUAAAAUGCGUAGAUAUCGAGAGGAACACCGAUGGCGAAGGCAGCUUCUUGGUCCAUACCUGACGCUGAAACACGAAAGCGUGGGGAGCAAACAGGAUUAGAAACCCUAGUAGUCC
rnacentral:rRNA from 1 species